rnacentral:rRNA from 1 species
AGGACGAACGCUGGCGGCGUGCCUAACACAUGCAAGUCGAACGGAGUUAACGAUGGAAGCGCCUUCGGGUGUGGAAGCCGUUAACUUAGUGGCGGACGGGUGAGUAACGCGUGAGUAACCUGCCUUUCAGAGGGGGAUAACGUUCGGAAACGAACGCUAAUACCGCAUGACAUAGCGAUACCGCAUGGUAAUGCUAUCAAAGGAGCAAUCCGCUGAGAGAUGGACUCGCGUCUGAUUAGAUAGUUGGUGAGGUAACGGCUCACCAAGUCGACGAUCAGUAGCCGGACUGAGAGGUUGAACGGCCACAUUGGGACUGAGACACGGCCCAGACUCCUACGGGAGGCAGCAGUGAGGGAUAUUGCACAAUGGGCGCAAGCCUGAAUGCAGCAACGCCGCGUGAGGGAAGACGGUCUUCGGAUUGUAAACCUUUGUCUUUGGUGAAGAAGAAAGUGACGGUAGCCGAGGAGGAAGCCACGGCUAACUACGUGCCAGCCGCCGC